rnacentral:rRNA from 1 species
UACACACCGCCCGUCACGCCAUGGGAGUGGGGUGCACCAGAAGUAGGUAGGCUAACCGCAAGGAGGCCGCCUACCACGGUACGCUUCAUGACUGGGGUGAAGUCGUAAACAAGGUACC